rnacentral:rRNA from 1 species
UACGAAGGGGGCUAGCGUUGCUCGGAAUCACUGGGCGUAAAGCGCACGUAGGCGGAUUGUUAAGUCAGGGGUGAAAUCCUGGAGCUCAACUCCAGAACUGCCUUUGAUACUGGCGAUCUUGAGUCCGGGAGAGGUGAGUGGAACUGCGAGUGUAGAGGUGAAAAUUCGUAGAUAUUCGCAAGAACACCAGUGGCGAAGGCGGCUCACUGGCCCGGUACUGACGCUGAGGUGCGAAAGCGUGGGGAGCAAACA